rnacentral:tRNA from 1 species
UGGGGAGUGGCCAAGUGGUAAGGCACCGGUCUUUGGAACCGGUAUCGGAGGUUCGAACCCUCCCUCCCCAGCCA